rnacentral:rRNA from 1 species
AACGAACGCUGGCGGCAGGCUUAACACAUGCAAGUCGAACGCAUCCUUCGGGGUGAGUGGCAGACGGGUGAGUAACGCGUGGGAACGUGCCCUUCAGUUCGGGAUAACCCAGGGAAACUUGGGCUAAUACCGGAUACGUGCGAGAGCAGAAAGAUUUAUCGCUGAAGGAUCGGCCCGCGCCUGAUUAGCUAGUUGGUGGGGUAAUGGCCCACCAAGGGGACGAUCAGUAGCUGGUCUGAGAGGAUGAUCAGCCACAUUGGGACUGAGACACGGCCCAAACGCCUACGGGAGGCAGCAGUGGGGAUUAUUGGACAAUGGGCGCAAGCUUGAUCCAGCCAUGCCGCGUGAGUGAUGAAGGCCUUAGGGUUGUAAAGCUCUUUCGUCCGGGACGAUAAUGACGGUACCGGAAGAAGAAGCCCCGGCUAACUUCGUGCCAGCAGCCGCAGUAA